GUGGCGGACGGGUGAGUAACGCGUAGGAAUCUGCCUUUUAGAGGGGGAUAACCCAGGGAAACUUGGGCUAAUACCGCAUAAUACCUUAGGGUUAAAGGUUUAGGCCGCUAGAAGAUGAGCCUGCGUUGGAUUAGCUAGUUGGUGGGGUAAAGGCUUACCAAGGCGACGAUCCAUAGCUGUUCUGAGAGGAAGAUCAGCCACACUGGGACUGAGACACGGCCCAGACUCC
rnacentral:rRNA from 1 species